CAUUAAACUUUACACAAUCGCGGGAAACCCGCGAUAAGGGGACACCGAGGGCCAGCAGAAAUUGGGGGCUGUCCACAUGUGUAAGCGGCAUGUCUUAGCAAGGGCCGGGCAAGACCGGUGCCAGCCGCCGCGGUAACACCGGCGGCCCGAGCGGUAUUCACUUUUAUUGGGUCUAAAGGGUCCGUAGCCGGUUUGAUCAGUUCUCCGGGAAAUCUGACAGCUCACCUGUUAGGCUUCCGGGGAAUACUGUCGAACUUGGGACCGGGAGAGGUAAAAGGUACUUCAGGGGUAGGAGUGAAAUCUUGUAAUCCCUGGGGGACCCCCAGUGGGGAGGGGGCCUUACCAAAACGGGCCCGACGGUGAGGGACAAAAGCUGGGGGCCCGAACCGAAUUAAAUACCCGGGUAGUCCCACCCGUAAACAAUGUUCGCUAGGGGUCAGGGACGGGGCGACCGUUUCUGGUGCCGAAGGGAAGCCGUAAAGCGAACCACCUGGGAAGUACGGCCCCAAGGCUGAAACUUAAAGGAUUUGGCGGGGGAAAGGGCGAAUUCGCGGCCGCUAAAUUAAUUCGCCCUAUAGUGAGUCGAUUACAAUUCACGGGCGUGGUUUUAAAA
rnacentral:rRNA from 1 species